UUUAAAGUGUAAUGUAAGUCGCUUUGGAUAAAAGCGUCUGCUGAAUGACCUGUA
rfam:Gasterosteus aculeatus cont1.011210, whole genome shotgun sequence.